AUAUUCAACAGGUCUCCACUAUAUAUUGUACAGGUCCUUCUCUGGCUGCUUGUACACUAGAACCUCUAUCCUGGUAGUUUUCUGCCUUUUCUCUAGUUAUUCCAUGGGGGUUGGGAGGGGGAAGUUUGCUCUGCCUUUCUUAUUCUGCCAUUUUCACAGAAGUCAAGAAUACAUUAUUAAAAUACAAAAAGAAAGCCACAUGAAUCAGUUCAAACUGGAAAUUGGUGUUGAUGGGGAAUAUGUAAAUUAAAAACUGGAAGAUGCAAAGCAGAUGCACUUGGGAAGGUUAGUGUGAACGGAGGCAAGCAAUGUCUUCUGCCUACUAAAAAUGACUUUUCAGCAAUUCUUCCAGCACAAAGUUAGCUUUGUUCAUCUACGUUGAAAUGCCGUGGUAUUUCAUUACACUGAAAGCAGGAAACAGUUUGGGAGACAGAAGUGGGAAUAUUAUUAAAUAUAUUACACAUGUGACAAAGUGUUACUUAACUUCCAAUUACCAGUAGACUUCACAGGGCAGGAAGGUUGCCAGCUCAUUCAUUUGAUCAUUACUUUUCUUGACCAGAAAGGCCCAGGAGAAUAUAUCCUAAAAUAAUAAAGAUUUCAUUAGCAUUUAAUGUUUUUUCCUUAAAGCCUUCAUUUUAGUAUUAUGAAACAGAUUUCAGAGAAUAUCUUAAGGUUUUCAUAAAACGAAACAUUUAAUAGUAUUUAUGACUCUCAGUGCUACCUGAAUUCAUUUGCAUCAUAAACCCACUAAAAUAGGCUUUAAUCUCUAAUGUGACCAUAAUGCUUUUACUUAACAUAACAACACUAUCAAGACCACUUUAUAAGCCACACAAAAAUAAUUAUCACUGCUUCUUUAUAAUCUCACUUUACUAGCCAGAAAUGUUAAUCUGGUUAAUUAUCUACCAUAUUCACCAGAUUGGGCUUUGAAUAAUUGGCAGUGCUUUUCAAAAAUCUAAUUUAUGCUGGAAAGAUGAAUAUUUUCCAGGUAAAGGAUGUUUUUAAGAAUGUUUCAGAAUCUCCGAGAACCACUCCAAAAGAGGAGUGCCGGAGAUGUUUUACAUAUGUAAGCAUUUUUGGAAAAACUGUACAGUCUUCCAAGGUGACUAAAGAAAAAUGUGCCCAGAUGAACAGGUUCUGAUAUAUUUGCUUAUAAGAUGAAUCUGAUUACUUUGUUUUCCCAAGUCAGAUUGCAUUUUUUGACUAGAGCAGCUCAGAUAGUAAAUCAGGUAUGAAAUUAUGUUUUGAUAGAAAAAUAGUUCUGUGAAGGACAAUGAUUUGGCAAACCUUUGUGGCUUUCAUGCAGCUGCUCUCAGGAAUCUGCCCAGGAAAGCUGCUCUUUCUGAGGAACUUGGGACUGAUUUUGAGCCCCCACUCAGUCAACUGAGGAGAUUGCCUUCAACACUGAGAGAAGUUCAUCCAAUCAGCAGUCAGAAGAGAGACUUUCCAUAUCUACUUUAGCCAACCAACUUCUCCUGGGGAAUCCAUUUAAAACCUUCAUUAGAGUUCCCAGCUUGCAGCCUGCCCUAUGGAAUUUGGACCUGUGCACCCCCACAGUCACACGAGACAAUUUUUGUAAAAAUAUAAUAUUUACAUAAUA